AGGACGAACGCUGGCGGCGUGCUUAACACAUGCAAGUCGAACGAGGCGCUUGCGCCUAGUGGCGAACGGGUGAGUAACACGUGAGCAACCUGCCCUUGGCUCUGGGAUAGCCUCCGGAAACGGGGAUUAAUACCGGACAUGACCUUCUCCUGCAUGGGGGAGGGUGGAAAGUUUUUCGGCCAGGGAGGGGCUCGCGGCCUAUCAGCUUGGUUGGGGGGUAACGGCCCACCAAGGCGACGACGGGUAG
rnacentral:rRNA from 1 species